rnacentral:rRNA from 1 species
GUGGGGAAUAUUGCACAAUGGGCGCAAGCCUGAUGCAGCAACGCCGCGUGAGGGAUGACGGCCUUCGGGUUGUAAACCUCUUUUAGUAGGGAAGAAGCGAAAGUGACGGUACCUGCAGAAAAAGCACCGGCUAACUACGUGCCAGCAGCCGCGGUAAUACGUAGGGUGCAAGCGUUGUCCGGAAUUAUUGGGCGUAAAGAGCUCGUAGGCGGCUUGUCGCGUCUGCUGUGAAAACCCGAGGCUCAACCUCGGGCCUGCAGUGGGUACGGGCAGGCUAGAGUGCGGUAGGGGAGAUUGGAAUUCCUGGUGUAGCGGUGGAAUGCGCAGAUAUCAGGAGGAACACCGAUGGCGAAGGCAGAUCUCUGGGCCGCAACUGACGCUGAGGAGCGAAAGCAUGGGGAGCGAACAGGAUUAGAUACCCCUGUAGUCC